rnacentral:rRNA from 1 species
UGGGGAAUAUUGCACAAUGGGCGCAAGCCUGAUGCAGCCAUGCCGCGUGUAUGAAGAAGGCGUUUGGGUUGUAAUGUACUUUCAGUCGGGAGGAAGGUGGUAAGGUUAAUAACCUUAUCAAUUGACGUUACCGACAGAAGAAGCACCGGCUAACUCCGUGCCAGCAGCCGCGGUAAUACGGAGGGUGCAAGCGUUAAUCGGAAUUACUGGGCGUAAAGCGCACGCAGGCGGUUGAUUGAGACAGAUGUGAAAUCCCCGGGCUUAACCCGGGAAUUGCAUCUGAUACUGGUCAGCUAGAGUCUUGUAGAGGGGGGUAGAAUUCCAUGUGUAGCGGUGAAAUGCGUAGAGAUGUGGAGGAAUACCGGUGGCGAAGGCGGCCCCCUGGACAAAGAAUGACGCUCAGGUGCGAAAGCGUGGGGAGCAAACAGG